rnacentral:rRNA from 1 species
AACGAACGCUGGCGGCAGGCCUAACACAUGCAAGUCGAACGCCGUAGCAAUACGGAGUGGCAGACGGGUGAGUAACACGUGGGAACAUACCCUUCGGUUCGGAAUAACUCAGGGAAGCUUGAGCUAAUACCGGAUACGUCCGCGAGGAGAAAGAUUCAUCGCCGGAGGAUUGGCCCGCGUCUGAUUAGCUUGUUGGUGAGGUAACGGCUCACCAAGGCGACGAUCAGUAGCUGGUCUGAGAGGAUGAUCAGCCACAUUGGGACUGAGACACGGCCCAAACUCCUACGGGAGGCAGCAGUGGGGAAUAUUGGACAAUGGGCGCAAGCCUGAUCCAGCCAUGCCGCGUGAGUGAUGAAGGCCCUAGGGUUGUAAAGCUCUUUUACCCGGGAAGAUAAUGACUGUACCGGGAGAAUAAGCCCCGGCUAACUUCGUGCCAGCAGCCGCCGCUGU